rnacentral:tRNA from 1 species
UAGCUUAAGAUAGAGCAUUUGCCUAGUAUGUAAAAGGCCCUGGGUUCAAUUCCCAG